UGAACCGGGCCAUCCAGAGGCUGCAGGCUGAGAUCGACAACAUCAAGAACCAGGAGGAGCUGGAAGCCGCCCUGCAGCGGGCCAAGCAGGAUAUGGCACGGCAGCUGCGUGAGUACCAGGAACUCAUGAGCGUGAAGCUGGCCCUGGACAUCGAGAUCGCCACCUACCGCAAGCUGCUGGAGGGCGAGGAGAGCCGGUUGGCUGGAGAUGGAGUGGGAGCCGUGAAUAUCUCUGUGAUGAAUUCCACUGGUGGCAGUAGCAGUGGCGGUGGCAUUGGGCUGACCCUCGGGGGAACCAUGGGCAGCAAUGCCCUGAGCUUCUCCAGCAGU
rnacentral:sRNA from 1 species